rnacentral:sRNA from 1 species
AACUACAACGAGUUUCUUGUGUCUUGGACUCACACAACUGGGUUGAACUUGUGUUGGUGACAACGCCUAGGCCUCGGGUAAUGCCCUGUCUAAAAAGUUUCAAAGUAAAGUAAAAGUAAAACCUUGACUGCAAGUCUACAGCACGCGCUCUUUGAACUCUAAGAGGUGAACACAACGGAUGUUGUUACUGUUGUAUUCAGACUUCAUCACACUUCAAAUUUGCCAUGAAACAUCUGGGAAAUCGAACUUAGUGUAACAGAAAAAAAAUUUCUGAGAAAAUUUAGAUAUGCUGUCAUUAAAAGUAAAUAUCGAAUGGUCUGUUGAGUUGCACAAAUAGAUCCAAAUAUUGACUAAGAUAAAACGAUUUGAUGAAUAUAAAGUAUACAAAAUAAUUCAAUUUUAUUUAAAGAUGACGAGCCGAAAACGCCAUACAAAACAAAAGAAUCAAAGUCAAAGUUGUUUGUCCAAAGGCUGAAACUUAUUCUUUAAACGUCUUUGAUGUCACCACGACGGAUGCUGUCACUGAGGAUGACACACUUCAUAAAACUUUUUUACAAUCGCUAUAAAGUUUUAGGAGAAUUUCAAAAUUUCUAUGAAACUAAAACGUAAAUUGUACCAGACCAACAAGCUUAUAAAGCUUAUGUCUCAUGACUUGAUGAAGAAAAUUAAAAGUUUUAAGAAGAUAUAACACAUGAAACAAUUCAUUUAAAUAUGGCCAGUCGAAAACGCCAUACAAAACAAAAGAAUCAAAGUCAAAGUAUUUUGUUCAAAGCAAGACAAAGUCCAGAACA